UGGGGAAUAUUGGGCAAUGGGGGCAACCCUGACCCAGCGACGCCGCGUGGGUGAAGAAAUCCCUCGGGAUGUAAAGCCCUGUUGUAUGGGAAGAGCAGAAGACGGUACCAUACGAGGAAGCCCCGGCAAACUACGUGCCAGCAGCCGCGGUAAUACGUAGGGGGCGAGCGUUGUCCGGAAUUACUGGGCGUAAAGCGCACGCAGGCUGAAUUAUAAGUCGGUAGUCAAAGGCGGAGGCUCAACCUUCGUUUAUCUAUCGAUACUGUAAAUCUAGAGUAUGUGAGAGGGAAGCGGAAUUCCCGGUGUAGCGGUGAAAUGCGUAGAUAGUCGGAGGAACACCGAGUGGCGAAGGCGGCUUCCUGGCACAAUACUGACGCUCAUGUGCGAAAGCUAGGGCAG
rnacentral:rRNA from 1 species